AUGGUUGUAGAAGGACAACCAACAACACUCACCUGUCUAUUUUAUACAACUGAUCAAUCACCAUAUCUCUUCUGGUACAAACAACUAGCAAAUGGCAAACCCAUGUUUAUGCUGAUAGAGGAUAAAUUUGGAACUGGGGAAACUGCUACUGAGUUCAAGGACAGAUUUCAUGCCCGUCUGAAUGUCACAGCAAAGUCAGUCCCCUUGACGAUCCAGAGGUUGCAGCUGUCUGACUCUGCUGUGUUCUACUGUACUCUGAGGCCCACUGUGACAACAGGAUAUUCAGCCCCCGUACAGUAA